rnacentral:rRNA from 1 species
GUGCCAGCAGCCGCGGUAAUACGGAGGGUGCAAGCGUUAUCCGGAUUCACUGGGUUUAAAGGGUGCGUAGGUGGGCAGGUAAGUCAGUGGUGAAAUCUUUGGGCUUAACCCAGAAACUGCCAUUGAUACUAUCUGUCUUGAAUACCGUGGAGGUCAGCGGAAUAUGUCAUGUAGCGGUGAAAUGCUUAGAUAUGACAUAGAACACCAAUUGCGAAGGCAGCUGGCUACACGAAUAUUGACACUGAUGCACGAAAGCGUGGGGAUCAAACAGGAUUAGAAACCCUCGUAGUCC